GUAGGUGGCAAGCGUUGUCCGGAAUUAUUGGGCGUAAAGCGCGCGCAGGCGGUUCUUUAAGUCUGAUGUGAAAGCCCACGGCUCAACCGUGGAGGGUCAUUGGAAACUGGAGAACUUGAGUACAGAAGAGGAAAGCGGAAUUCCACGUGUAGCGGUGAAAUGCGUAGAGAUGUGGAGGAACACCAGUGGCGGAGGCGGCUUUCUGGUCUGUAACUGACGCUGAGGCGCGAAAGCGUGGGGAGCAAACAGGGAUUAGAUACCCUGGUAGUCCACGCCGUAAACGAUGAGUGCUAAGUGUUAGGGGGGUUUCCGCCCCCUUAGUGCUGCAGCUAACGCAUUAAGCACUCCGCCUGGGGAGUACGGCCGCAAGGCUG
rnacentral:rRNA from 1 species